rnacentral:tRNA from 1 species
UGGGAUGUAGCUCAGUGGCAGAGUGCUUGCUUAGCCAUGCAUGAAUACCUGGGUUCAAUUCCCAGUACCUCAA